CCUACGGGUGGCUGCAGUCGAGAAUCUUCGGCAAUGGGCGCAAGCCUGACCGAGCGACGCCGCGUGCGGGAUGAAGGCCCUCGGGUUGUAAACCGCUGUCAGGGGGGAUGAAAUGCAUCGGGGUUCUCCCCGGUGUUUGACAGAGCCCCAGAGGAAGCGCGGGCUAAGUUCGUGCCAGCAGCCGCGGUAAUACGAACUGCGCAAACGUUAUUCGGAAUCACUGGGCUUACAGGGUGCGUAGGCGGCGAGGGAAGUAGGGUGUGAAAUGCCUUGGCUCAACCAAGGCACCGCGCUCUAAACUCCCUUGCUCGAGUGAGUCAGGGGUACGCGGAACUUCCGGUGGAGCGGUGAAAUGUGUUGAUAUCGGAAGGAACACCGGUGGCGAAAGCGGCGUACUGGGGCUUAACUGACGCUGAGGCACGAAAGCCAGGGGAGCGAAC
rnacentral:rRNA from 1 species